rnacentral:misc_RNA from 1 species
UCCCAUAACAUUUUUUGUCUCUCUCCAGCAGUCCGGCACUUUCAAAGAUCUCCAGCAAUGAACGCUGCGUCCUUCUCUACGCCCAGGCCCAAUUUCAUUGAAGACAACAGUGGAAGCGAUUCUGACACGAAUCCUGAUGCCGCGCCUCAACAUUAUCAGCCAAUCUCAGCCAUCGAUGUUGAUGAUGAUGAGGACGGCUCCUCCGAUCAAGGCAACUCAGAUGAAGAAUACCAUAGCUAUUCUCGAGGUGAAGCAGAGAACGGAAUCUCGUCUCUUCAUAUAAACGGCGACAUGGAGCAGAAGAGCAGCAGCAGCGAUGAAGAGGAGGCGGAGGAGAGAGUGACUGAGGCGUCUGAUUCGGCGAUACUCAGGGCUUUUAGAGAGGAUGAGAAUCGAAGAAACGCGCCGUUGACGGCUGAGAAUGCGAUGCGAGUGAGGGAAGCAAUGAGAGGGAUAUCGUUCGGAGGAUCCGCUCCCGAUUGGGCGGGUCGAGUUCCUGAAGAUGAGUGGAUCAAUCAGCUUCGGAGAUUGAGGCAACCGCCCGGCCCUUCAACUUCUGUCCAAAAUUAGAGCUAUAAUUAAUAAUUAUUUGCCAGAUUUUAGUACUUGCAGUCUUGAUUGUAACAACGGAUUUCCUUUUCUUUUCUCACUUUUGAAUGCUUGGAUUGAACUUGUUUUGUUUUGGACUGAUUAUGCUAGUUCGAACUUCUGAGAAGACUGACCUCUUAACUACAUGUCCCUAGAUAUUCAUAUAGUUUAUUAUUAUUUUUAUUCCCG